ACAAUGCUCUUAACCACUAAGCUACCUGCCGCCCAAUGUUCACUAUUGGUGCAUCAAGUUGGUUGGAACCUCUCCAGCGCGCUGACAAAUAAUGAUUCAUUUAAGAUUGACUUCGAGAGUCCUUGUGUAAGAAUUUCAACAACAAUUUGGUGUCAACGAACAGGAUGAUUGAUUCUGCCUGAGGAGCUUUCCAGUUGGGGUCUGCGAGGAAAACUGGGUGCACAUUUUAUGAAGCGUGAGGGAAAUUCCCGUCUGACCAAAAGACGACGAGAUCCGCCCAGACCAGACCCUUACUAUGAGCUGCUCAGGAGGAGACACAUAAUCUGCAAACAAUUGAGGGACGGCAACUGAUUUCACUAAGUCCCCUGCUGUUCUCUGAUUAAGAAGUGAUGACCACUCCACUCCACUACCAGUGUCAACUCUCCUGAUAUGAACUGAAGCCAUGUUUCAUGUGCCCUCUCAUCCACUGGCGCAUUCAAUGUUUCCUCUCCAAGCAUUUCAAAUCCUGUCCUGCACUGAAGUUAAGCCUCUGAACACC